UUCUCAACUCCUGGUGGAUGGAUCAGGCUUGUUUCACUGUAGCAGGCGUCAGGGCACAGAGGGGCACAGCAGCAAGGCACCUGCAAAGUUCGUCACCUCGGCUGGGCGACACAGUAACGGUGUGUACUCCGGUUCGGGCGCUCUCUCUUUAUUCCAGACCUGGAAAUGCCAAGUGUACAAAAUUCGGUGUGAGAGUGCUGUGAACACAGAGCUUGCGAUGUACCAAGUUUCAAGAAUCUCUUCGAAACGGCAGCAGUGUCAGAGCAAAGGUGCUGCACAAGCUGGUCAGCCCACUGUUUGGCCCAGGGACACUUCCGAGAAGGCUUACUUGCAGGGUUUGAUGAAGGUGCCAAGAAUAGUUGGUCCCACUAUUCCAAUGGGUCAAAGCAUCUUCGCGAGACCUUCUAGUUCGAUCACAUGCAGAGAGGCAAACCUUCCAGCAGUUCCUCGACUCAGCUUCUUAGGUUCAGGAUACUUGGAUCCUAUCCUAGGUUCAGUGAGAACUCAAUAGCUCAACCUGGUGUUGGUGUUCGGGCCUUCUCUUACCCAGAAUCUCCUUCGUGCUAAAAUGAAGAGGACCCAAUGGGAGAUUUGCUCACAUACAGGUAACAACAGGCGUGGACCAAUCACGGACCAUUGUGGUCCCAGUCAUUCCCAGCACACCAGACUCCAAUACACAUCCUGGGUGCCCGAACUAAACAGUCCAGCCCACAUCCUGAAAGCACACGCACACAAGGCAUGCAGAAGCCCGCAAAAGCUUGGAGUUUUGCGGGAGCAUGCAUGUCCAAAAGGACCGACCGGGUCGGCUCGACCUGCGGAAGGAAAAGGGCAAAUUGGCCAAAGGACAGGAUUAAGAACCUCAUGGCAUGGCCAUUUUGGAGCCAGACCACCUUCCUGUGCCAACAACAGUAAACACGGCUUGCAUGGCAAGAAAGAGUUAAAAUAUGGGAAAAGAUAAGCUGCCACCAGCCUUGUCCAAGCGACAUCUGCACUCCUGAAAAGUCCUUUGAGGGAGUCUAGGGCCUUUGGAAACGAAAGGAAGACCCAAGCGCACUGUACUGGGAGGUACAUUGUGCACUUGUAACAUGUUUCAACAUUGGAAAGGACUAAAGGAAACAAAGUCUCCCAUACUGACCGUCUUUUAGGGCAUAUCCGUUUCCCCAUAAAAACUCUGGCGGGACUGGAUGGAGGCACAUUGGUUGGAUGGGAGGCACGGGGCACAUUGGUGUGGGUCUGCAGGGAAGGAUGGGGCAUCCUUGUUUGGGUUGGAUGGGGACAUCGGUGUGGGUCUGGAAGGAGGGGAGGGGGCACAUUGGUGUGGGUCUGGGGGGACGGGGCACAUUGGUGUGGGUCUGCUGGAGGGAUGGGGCAUCCUGGGUUGGGUUGGAUGGGGACAUCAGUGUGGGUCUGGAGGGAGGGUAUGCAGGCACAUUGGUUUGGUGGGUGGGACAGGCACAUUGGUCUGGGGGAGGGAUAGGGGCACAUUGGUGUCGUCUAAACAGGUAUGGACCAUUGUUGGUCUGGAGAGUGGAUGGGGCAUCCUGGUGUGGGUGGGAUGGAGACAUCGAGGGCCGGCAUUCUGCCUCGGCCGACGCCUAGCAGCUGACUUAGAACUGGUGUGGGCAAGGGGAAUCCGACUGUUAAAUUAAAACAAUGCAUUGGGUAAGACCCACGGUUUGUGUUGAUGUGAUUUCUGCCAGCGCUCUGAAUGUCAAAGUGAAGAAAUUCAAUGAUCGUGCAGGUAAACCGCGAGAGUAACUGACUCUCUUAAGGUAGCCAAAUGCCUCGUCAUCCAAUUAGUGAAUGGAUUAACAAGAUUCCCAAUGUCCCUGGCUAUUUAUCGGCGAAACCACAGCCAAGGGAAUGGUCAUAGCAGAAUCAGCAGGGGCAGGAGACCUCCAUGAGAUUCACUCUAGUCUGGCACUGUGAAGAGACCUGAGAGUUGUAAGAUACGUAGGAGGCCCUCCGGCGUCUGUUGAAAUACCACUACUUUUAUCUUUUUUUCACUUACCUGAUGAGGCGGGGCGAGCCCCGUGGGACAAUCGCUUCUGGCUCCAAGCGCCUGGUGCAACCUGCUCCAGGCACAGUGGCAGGUGGGAAUUUGACUGGGGCGGUACACCUGGCAAACCAUAACGCAGGUGUUCUAAGGCAAGCUUAGGGAAGACAGAAACCUCCCACUGGGCAGAGGCAAAAGCUUGCUUGAUCUCAAUUUUCAGUAUGAAUACAGACCGUGAAAGCGGGGCCUCAGGAUCCUUCAGACUUUUUGGGUUUCAAGCAGGUGAUGUCAGAAAAGUUACCACAGAGAUAACUGGCUUGUGGCGGCCAAGCGUUCAUAGCGAUGCGCUUUUUUGAUCCUUCGAUGUCGCUCUUACAAUCAUUGUGAAGCAGAAUUCACAAGCGUUGGAUUGUUCACUCACUAAUGGGGAACAUGAGCAGGGUUUAGACCUCGUGAGACAGUUAGUUUUACCCUACUGAUGAUGUGCUGUUGCAAUAGUAAUCCUUCUCAGUAUGAGAGAACUGCAGGUUCAGACAACUGGUGUAUGUGCUUGGCUUAGGAGCCAAUGGGGCGAAGCUACCAUCUGCAGGAUUAUGACUUAACACCUCUAAGUCAGAAUCCCCCUAACCGGUAUCGCAGUGCUGUGGAUCCUCUGUUGGCCUAGGAUAGCAGGCCUCUGGGCCGGUGCGUAGAGCCGUUCGCCUCAGGACUCGAGUGUGUACAGAAGGGGGGGCACCUCUUUUGUGCUUAGUGCACCGUAUGUUUGUGGGGAACCUGGUGCUAAAUCAUUCUGGGUCAUGCUUUCGUAAGUAGCAGUCGUCCUCUGAGCCAAGCUU
rnacentral:rRNA from 1 species